rnacentral:rRNA from 1 species
CCUACGGGCGGCAGCAGUGGGGAAUAUUGGACAAUGGGCGAAAGCCUGAUCCAGCCAUGCCGCGUGUGUGAAGAAGGCCUUCGGGUUGUAAAGCACUUUCAGUGGGGAAGAAAGCCUUGGGGCUAAUACCCUCGAGGAAGGACAUCACCCACAGAAGAAGUACCGGCUAACUCCGUGCCAGCAGCCGCGGUAAUACGGAGGGUGCGGGCGUUAAUCGGAAUUACUGGGCGUAAAGCGCGCGUAGGCGGUCUGAUAAGCCGGUUGUGAAAGCCCCGGGCUCAACCUGGGAACGGCAUCCGGAACUGUCAGGCUAGAGUGCAGGAGAGGAAGGUAGAAUUCCCGGUGUAGCGGUGAAAUGCGUAGAGAUCGGGAGGAAUACCAGUGGCGAAGGCGGCCUUCUGGACUGACACUGACGCUGAGGUGCGAAAGCGUGGGUAGCAAACAGGAUUAGAUACCCCGGUAGUC